rnacentral:misc_RNA from 1 species
UUUCCGUAGGUGAACCUGCGGAAGGAUCAUUCAUAAUAAGUGUUUUAUGGCACUUUUUUAAAUCCAUAUCCACCUUGUGUGCAAUGUCAGGGUUGAUUUUUCUCGCGAGAGGAUCAGCCCCAAACAUCAACUAUAUCUCAACUCUUUGUCUGAAAAAUAUUAUGAAUAAAACAAUUCAAAAUACAACUUUCAACAACGGAUCUCUUGGCUCUC